AUAUCUUCGGCAUCAAGAACCAUUAUGCAGUCUUCAAUUUUCAUUUUUGUUUUCAAGCCUAAGAUAAGAGCUCUCGGAAAUGAAGAGAAGAGGAAAAACAAAGGGAAAAUCUGGGUAAUUUUUAUAUUGAUUAUUAUUUCAUCUUUUACGGAUAAUUUUUUCAUAUAAUUAAGAAAAAAACAUUUGUUGAGUGUAGAUUGAGGACUUUGAUAUUAUAGCUAUGCUUUGGGUGGAAAGUUAAACCAGAAGUUAUUAGAUAAUCUCGAAUUAUUAUGUGCGAUGAUCUCAUUCAAUUUUUAUUGUUACGUAUAUUUAAGUUUUUUAAUUUAUUGAAAAUAAUUAAUAAUACCUGAUUAAUUAUAUAUUAUGUAAAAAUUAAUUAAAAUCGUAAUAGUACUUGGAUCAUCUAAUAGUUAUUUCAAAGUAAAUGUUGUACACAACAUGUCGAAUUUGUGAGAGAAAAAAAAUUUGAAUUCGAUUCUCACAAUAUAUUUUUGAGAGAAAUGAAAAAUUUUAAGUGUGAUAAGUCUGAAAUCAAAUUAUAAUAUUAUUUUUAAUAAAAAAGUAAACAUUGUACCCUCAAAAGUGGUUGGAACUUUAUCAUAGGUUUGUAAUGAAUUCCAUAACCUCUAUGUCUCAAUUUUUUAUAAGUAAUUAAAAUUAAGUAGACACUUGUUUUUUCAAAUAUAAUGAAUGCUCUUAGAUUAUACUAAUAGAAUCUCCCAAUUAAGUGACCGGUAGAUAAGUAAUAAGUAACACAAAAAAGUCAUAGCGACAGAGAACAUAUUGUCAUGUAAGCAGUAUGUGUUUGUAUUAAUUUUCAUUAUCAUUUUUGUUGAACACCAAUUUUCUUCAGUUACGUUAGAAUGAAUUGAACAGAGAAAGAUCAUAUUGUAAUAUCAGGUAGUGUGUGCUUGUAUUUUCGCUACCAACCCUGUUAAACUUUAAUCCACCAAUUUUCCUCGAUUACAUUAGAAUCGAUCUAUUGAACUGUGUCUGAAGGGGCAAUGCAAAUGCAAACACAUCCUUAAUUGUUCAAUUGUCACAAGCCCUAGUCUUUUAUGUGUGAUGUUAGUACCUUCAAUUGACGAAAUUCAGCUGAACUUUACUUUAUUGCUUUUCUUUAUUCCAAGUACAUAUUAUGAGAUCCAUAGACACACACUACCUGGAGAGAAAGGAAAACACAUAACAUACUAUAUAUAGCUUCUAGAUGCCCAUUUUCUUAGACCACUUUAUAAAACUAACAGAUACAAACAGCAUAUCAUUAAUAACUUAUAAACCAUACCCUUAAACCCUCUAAAUCUAGAGUUUCUUCAUCUUCAAAGUGUCAAGAAACCUACCCUUUGUGAUAUCAUUGCCGGAUAUGAAGUCCAGAAAUUCCCUAAAGCAGAAUUCUUUGUAGGAUUUGGGGUGCUGGUCAUUAACAAGUUCAAGUGCUGGACCCAUCUUUCUGUCCAUUGCAAAACUGUGAAGGCUCACAAUGGAAAACCUCUUGUCAU
rnacentral:lncRNA from 1 species